rnacentral:rRNA from 1 species
GAUGAACGCUGGCGGCGUGCCUAAUACAUGCAAGUCGGGCGAACAGAUAAGGAGCUUGCUCCUUUGACGUUAGCGGCGGACGGGUGAGUAACACGUGGAUAACCUACCUAUAAGACUGGGAUAACUUCGGGAAACCGGAGCUAAUACCGGAUAACAUAUUGAACCGCAUGGUUCAAUAGUGAAAGGCGGCUUUGCUGUCACUUAUAGAUGGAUCCGCGCCGUAUUAGCUAGUUGGUAAGGUAACGGCUUACCAAGGCAACGAUACGUAGCCGACCUGAGAGGGUGAUCGGCCACACUGGAACUGAGACACGGUCCAGACUCCUACGGGAGGCAGCAGUAGGGAAUCUUCCGCAAUGGGCGAAAGCCUGACGGAGCAACGCCGCGUGAGUGAUGAAGGUCUUCGGAUCGUAAAACUCUGUUAUCAGGGAAGAACAAAUGUGUAAGUAACUGUGCACAUCUUGACGGUACCUGAUCAGAAAGCUACGGCUAACUACGUG